CUGUCUGGAAUUUCAGAGGGGCACCCCAAAAGGCAGAGGCUGCCCUGGGGGGCAGGCUAGGGGUGAGGUGGGGCAUGAGGAAGAGGCUGUAAAAGACCCCUCUUGUCAGAGAUGUCAGACCCUCGUUCUCUCCCGGCUUGUCUCGGGCAGUGGGGGGACACACUAGCACCGCAGGACGGCUGCUCAGGCACAAACCACCCCGUGGUGUGCGGUGGCUAUGCCCCGGCCGGCCAGCUCCAUUAGGGGCUGGGAAGGAAGAACACGCGCUGCCCAGGCGCAGGACAUCUGCCCCCCACACAAAGGGCUCAGCUUCGGGGGGCCGCGGGGAAGAUGGUAGCUUUCUCCCAGCCUGGGAGGGGAACAGACAAGAGUUUGCAGGAAUAAGCAUGAGCCAAGACUGGGAACCAUUCGGAAUUCUCCAGAUCAUCCAGAGGAGUGAGGGUUGGGAUGAGAGAAGGGGUCAGGACUGCCUGGAGAGCUGCGGCUCAAAGACCAAAAAGACUGAGAUGCUUGACCCUCAACUUCCCGUCUAAAAAGGCCUGCUGCCAAGACACAAUCAGAAUCCUCACAUGAAGAGGGGGGAUCGCAGUGGGGAGGGGACCCCCGUGGAGCCUGAGGAUGGCGCAUGCUCCUGGAGCUGGUUAAGGAGGAAUCAAGGCAAAGAAGGCGGGAGGAGAAGAGAUCAGUGAACUGGCGGGGAGAUGAGGGGAGAGGCAGAAAGAGCCUUUCAACCAGAGAAAAUCACAUGCAACUCACACAGGAUGACAGGGUAGAAACCAUCUUCAGCUCCUUCCAGACAACUGGGGCCACCUGAUUCAAGAGAAGGCUUUCCCAGAAGGACUCCAGGGUCAACCCCAGCCUCACUGUCCCUGAAGAAGAGACCGUGGAGGGCAGCACUUUGGCUGCCACUGAUGGUACAAGACGACCUGCCCAAGCCAAGGCUGGCAGACACCUACGGGGCAGGCCUGAUGAUCUAGCCCCCACCGGGAAUCACAGAAGCCGCCCACUUCUUGAUGUUGGCAGCGCCAGGGGACAUGACCCAGAAAGGAGAGCCGGUGUUGACAGCUCCCUCAGGGGGAGGGAGGGCCCAGGCUCGGGGACUCCCUCACUACCCACCUGCUGUCGGGGCCACCUUGGAUGGCACCUAAAAGGAGCGCAUGGCACCCACCCUCUGCCAGGCCACGCUCCGGAGCAGCCUUUCGUCCACUCCGCGCCAUCCGCCGGCGAGCCCCGGCGGGAUCAAGU